rnacentral:sRNA from 1 species
CGACUAUGGCGGCGAUGGCGGUGGCGCUGCGGGGAUUAGGAGGGCGCUUCCGGUGGCGGACGCAGGCCGUGGCGGGCGGGGUGCGGGGCGCGGCGCGGGGCGCAGCAGCAGGUCAGCGGGACUAUGAUCUCCUGGUGGUCGGCGGGGGAUCUGGCGGCUUGGCUUGUGCCAAGGAGGCCGCUCAGCUGGGAAGGAAGGUGGCCGUGGUGGACUACGUGGAACCUUCUCCCCAAGGCACCCGGUGGGGCCUCGGCGGCACCUGCGUCAACGUGGGCUGCAUCCCCAAGAAGCUGAUGCACCAGGCGGCACUGCUGGGGGGACUGAUCCAAGAUGCCCCCCACUAUGGCUGGGAGGUGGCCCAGCCCGUGCUGCAUGACUGGAGGAAGAUGGCAGAAGCUGUUCAAAAUCACGUGAAAUCCUUGAACUGGGGCCACCGUGUCCAGCUUCAGGACAGAAAAGUCAAGUACUUUAACAUCAAAGCCAGCUUUGUUGACGAGCACACGGUUUGUGGCGUUGCCAAAGGUGGGAAAGAGAUUCUGCUAUCAGCUGACCACAUCAUCAUUGCUACUGGAGGGCGGCCGAGAUACCCCACGCACGUGAGUGUCCCCAGAGCACAGUGUCCCUGCUACCAUGGCCCAUUCCCGGCCUCUUUGAGGGAUACACUUUUACACACGCGCUUCCCACAGCGGCAGCUUGCACACCCUUUCCCCCUAUACUCACUAUCAUCACUUUCUGCUUUCCAAUUCUCUUGAAUCCACACUGCUGAAAUGUGGAGUCCCCAGUGGCCUCCAUGCUGCCAGAUCCUCAGGACAGCUCUCGUUCUGCUCUCCCCCUGCCCCGCUGGAUCCGUGCCCUUCCACACCAGGAUCCUGCUUCCUAAGUCUCCAUUGCUGAUUCCCCCUUUUCCCUU